rnacentral:rRNA from 1 species
UACGUAGGGGGCAAGCGUUAUCCGGAUUUACUGGGUGUAAAGGGAGCGUAGACGGCGGUGCAAGCCAGAUGUGAAAGCCCGGGGCUCAACCCCGGGACUGCAUUUGGAACUGUGCUGCUAGAGUGUCGGAGAGGCAGGCGGAAUUCCUAGUGUAGCGGUGAAAUGCGUGGAUAUUAGGAGGAACACCAGUGGCGAAGGCGGCCUGCUGGACGAUGACUGACGUUGAGGCUCGAAAGCGUGGGGAGCAAACAGG